AUGAACGCUGGCGGCGUGCCUAAUACAUGCCAGUCGAGCGAACGGACGAGAAGCUUGCUUCUCUGAUGUUAGCGGCGGACGGGUGAGUAACACGUGGAUAACCUACCUAUAAGACUGGGAUAACUUCGGGAAACCGGAGCUAAUACCGGAUAAUAUUUUGAACCGCCUGGUUCAAAAGUGAAAGACGGUCUUGCUGUCACUUAUAGAUGGAUCCGCGCUGCAUUAGCUAGUUGGUAAGGUAACGGCUUACCAAGGCAACGAUGCAUAGCCGACCUGAGAGGGUGAUCGGCCACACUGGAACUGAGACACGGUCCAGACUCCUACGGGAGGCAGCAGUAGGGAAUCUUCCGCAAUGGGCGAAAGACUGACGGAGCAACGCCGCGUGAGUGAUGAAGGUCUUCGGAUCGUAAAACUCUGUUAUUAGGGAAGAACAUAUGUGUAAGUAACUGUGCACAUCUUGACGGUACCUAAUCAGAAAGCCACGGCUAACUACGUG
rnacentral:rRNA from 1 species